AUCAGCUGAGGCAGAACGGGUGAACGCAACGUGACGGGUCUGGGCAUUGCACCUCCACAAGCCCUACGCUAAUCUCGUUUUAAUAUAUCAGGGAAAGAUGUCUUUGUGAUGAAACAAAUGAACCGAGUGUGUUCAAAAUAUCCUCUCCACCAAGAGAAGGUGCACUAACACCAAGAAGCCAGUGGCUCCGUCAUGCUACCCUAAACAACAAUACCCAGUAGACGUAGGUUCAGAACCACAAUACAGUCCUGGAUGGAGUGUAAAGGAUGAGGUAUAUACAGGAUGAUCUGUAUCAGAGUGUAAAGGAUGAGGUAUGUACAGGAGUGUAAAGGAUGCUGCUAUGUGCUUCUUUACUCAAAUCUUCCUUUUUCGUGGUUAGCUCACCCCUGAAAACCUUCGUUCGCACUCUGUUACAACGCGCAUUUGGAAGAAAAACCUUGAACGACCACAGUACGACCUAUGGUAGAGAAAACUAAUGACACACACACACACACACACACACACACACACACACACACACACACACACACACACACACACACACACACACACACACACACACACACACACACACACACACACACACACACACACACACUCC